GACAACAGCCAUACCACCCUGAACGCUCCCGAUCUCGUCUGAUCUUGGAAGCUAAGCAGGGUUGGGCACAGUUAGUACUUGGAUGGGAGAAGACCCAGAGGAACAACAAGUUAGCAAUAGACA
rnacentral:rRNA from 1 species